rnacentral:rRNA from 1 species
AUUGAACGCUGGCGGCAUGCCUUACACAUGCAAGUCGAACGGCAGCACGGGAGCUUGCUCCUGGUGGCGAGUGGCGAACGGGUGAGUAAUGCAUCGGAACGUGCCCUGAAGUGGGGGAUAACGUAGCGAAAGUUACGCUAAUACCGCAUAUUCUGUGAGCAGGAAAGCAGGGGAUCUUCGGACCUUGCGCUUUUGGAGCGGCCGAUGUCGGAUUAGCUAGUUGGUGGGGUAAAGGCCCACCAAGGCGACGAUCCGUAGCGGGUCUGAGAGGAUGAUCCGCCACACUGGAACUGAGACACGGUCCAGACUCCUACGGGAGGCAGCAGUGGGGGAAUUUUGGACAAUGGGCGCAAGCCUGAUCCAGCCAUGCCGCGUGAGUGAAGAAGGCCUUC